UGACGUCAAAUCAUCAUGCCCCUUAUGUCCUGGGCUACACACGUGCUACAAUGGGCGAUACAACGAGUUGCGAAACCGCGAGGUCAAGCUAAUCUCUUAAAGUCGUUCUCAGUUCGGAUUGCAGUCUGCAACUCGACUGCAUGAAGUUGGAAUCGCUAGUAAUCGUGGAUCAGCAUGC
rnacentral:rRNA from 1 species